rnacentral:rRNA from 1 species
GACGAACGCUGGCGGCGUGCUUAACACAUGCAAGUCGAACGGAAAGGCCCUGCUUUUGUGGGGUGCUCGAGUGGCGAACGGGUGAGUAACACGUGAGUAACCUGCCCUUGACUUUGGGAUAACUUCAGGAAACUGGGGCUAAUACCGGAUAGGAGCUCCCGCUGCAUGGUGGGGGUUGGAAAGUUUCGGCGGUUGGGGAUGGACUCGCGGCUUAUCAGCUUGUUGGUGGGGUAGUGGCUUACCAAGGCUUUGACGGGUAGCCGGCCUGAGAGGGUGACCGGCCACAUUGGGACUGAGAUACGGCCCAGACUCCUACGGGAGGCAGCAGUGGGGAAUAUUGCACAAUGGGCGGAAGCCUGAUGCAGCAACGCCGCGUGCGGGAUGACGGCCUUCGGGUUGUGAACCGCUUUCGCCUGUGACGAAGCGUGAGUGACGGUAAUGGGUAAAGAAGCACCGGCUAACUACGUG